GCGCCACUUUAGCAAGGCAGGCGGGGCGCUGGUCUUCGGAACCAGCGGCUGUGGGUUCAAAUCCCACAAGGCGCGCCA
rnacentral:tRNA from 1 species